rnacentral:rRNA from 1 species
GACGAACCGUGCGAACGUUGUUCGGAUUCACUGGGCUUAAAGGGCGCGUAGGGGGCUACGCGAGUCGGGGGUGAAAUCGUCCCGCCCAACGGCACAAGGGCCUCCGAGGCCGCGUGACUCGAUGGGGAUAGGGGAGCGCGGAACUUCCGGUGGAGCGGUGAAAUGCGUAGAUAUCGGAAGGAACGCCGGCGGCGAAAGCGGCGCACUGGAUACUUACUAACGCUGAGGCGUGAAAGCCAGGGGAGCAACCGCG